rnacentral:siRNA from 1 species
CGGCGGACCGGAUUGCUCCGU